rnacentral:rRNA from 1 species
AUGGAAGAUAUUGUGAUUCUUCUAGCCAUCAAGAAGAUUGGAAUUGCCUUGGCAAAAGUAGCGACACACCAGGCCAGUGCGAAGUUUGCGAAGUACGGGACCCAACUACUAGAGCUUCAAGGCAGCAUGGAUCGUCAUGUAAGGGAGCUUCGUGUGAUGCAUGAUGUUCUCUGCCAAAGUGCCAUUCGAAACCCCAAUGAUGCAAUAUAUGAGAGCUGGUUGGAGGGGGUACGAAAGGUAGCACAUAAUAUGGAGGACAUGGUCGAUGAGUACUUGCAUCUUGUUGGUCACGCACAUGAUAUAGGAUGUUGCUUUUACCUGAAGAAAGGGUUAAAGAAACCAAGAUCUCUGCUUGCUCUGAAGUGCAUAGCUUUCACUUUGAAGGAAAUAGAGAAAGACCUUUCACACUUGUCGGAGACAAGAAGACGUUGGGUUCCUUUGAUAAACAGCGGGGAUUAUAGCAACUCAAAUCACAUUCUCAAGAGGUCCCAAGAUCUAGCAAACAUUUCACGUUCCCUUGAUGAAGAAGAUCUCGUAGGUGUGGAUGAAAACAGAGAAAAACUUCAGAAGUUGUUGGCAAGUGAUAUUUUGGAACGCUCUGUGAUAGCGCUGCUUGGAAUGGGAGGGCUUGGUAAAACAGCUUUAGCUGCAAAUGUCUACAGGAAGGAGAUGAAGAAUUUCCAAUGCCAUGCCUGGGUCUCCAUCUCCCAAACUUAUUCUAAAGAAGAUGUCUUGAGGAAUAUAAUCAAGGAACUUUCUGGAGAUAAAGUCAACACUGUGGACAUGGAAAUCACAUGCGUUGAAGAGACACUCAAGAAAUUUCUGAAGAAACGAAAGUAUUUGAUCAUUUUGGAUGAUGUUUGGACUCCAGAAGCAUUUACUUAUUUGUCUCGGGUGCUUAUUCAUAAUGAUAAGGGCAGUCGACUCCUAAUCACAACAAGGGAAAAGUGUGUUGCUGAACUUGCCUCGAGUGGACAUACCUUAACAGUGCAAGCUUUACCAGAUGACAAGGCAUUGGAUCUCUUUUGUAAGAAAGCCUUUCCAAGUAGUGGCUCGCCGAGCAACAAAGCAAGGGAGGGACUCCCUGGUUACUUUGACCGGAUUGGUGAUACAUAUCAUGAAUUUCCUGCGGAGUUGAAGCCUUUGGCCGUGGACAUAGUUAGCAAGUGCAAAAGCUUGCCACUUCUCAUUGUGUUAGUUGGUGGUCUUUUCCGUGUAUGUGACAAAACUGUGAAAGGAUGGAACAAAAUGAAAGCCCAGCUGAGUUGGGAGUUGAUUAAUAAUUCGAGUCUCGAUCAUAUAAGGAAUGUGUUGCAUCUGAGCUUCAUCUACUUGCCAACACACUUGAAAAGUUGUUUCCUGUACUGCAGCUUGUUUCCAGAAGACUAUAUUUUCAGAAGAAAGCAGCUUGUACGGUUAUGGAUAGCCGAAGGGUUCAUCGAGGAGAGGGGUGAAAGCACAGUAGAAGAAGUGGCAGAAGGCUAUCUGAAUGAGUUGAUUGAUAGAAGCAUGCUGCAACUUGUUGACAGGAACAUUGAUGGUAGGAUCAAAAAAAUCAGAAUGCAUGAUAUCUUACGUGAAUUGGCAGUUGACUUGUGCAAGAAGAACUGCUUUGGUGCUACAUAUGAGAAUAAGCGUGGGCAGUCUCUUGAGACGGAUGUGCGAAGACUGGUAGUGCGCAAACUAAAGGAGGAUAUUCAUCAGUCAUUUCUUAGCAUACACCGACUACGAACUGUCAUUACACUAGACAAUAGCAUGCCAUCGUCCACUCUACUACCUGUGCUAUGUAAGAAGUCAAGAUACAUGACAGUGCUAGAAUUAAGUGGUCUGCCCAUCGAGAAAAUUUCAGAUGCCAUUGGAGAUCUCUUUAACCUUCGCUAUUUGGUGUUUGCGUAA